CCAUUUAACGUUCAGCAUGACCCUGCGUGCGGCACUCUGCCGUGCGUCAAUUAGCUCCGCAGCAUUAGCGACAACAUCAGUCCGUCAAUCAACCUUUACAAACCAACUACAUACUACAUACUAACUCUGCUUGGACCCGGACCCUCCCGGUUGGACCCUGACGCUAUUGGUGAGACCCUGGUGCUAUAGGUGAGAGAUGGGGAGGGAGGAUGAGGAGGCCAAGGAGGGCACGAAGAGGAGGCUGACGGAUGAGGAAGAGGCGAAGGGCGACGCGGCCCAGAAAAGUGCGAACAUGAGGAAGGAGAAGAGGUCCUCAGAUGUGGCCGGCGAAAGGGAUCUUCCAAGAAGGAGAGGCCAGUGAAGCAGACCUCAUCUAACGGUGUGAGGUAAGACCGCCUGAUGUCUCUGACAGCUUCUUAUUAAGGAGGAUAAUAAGCUGGCGAGUUAGUGGUGAGUGAUGGCUUCUCCCAAUCAUCUCCUCCCCCCUCCCCCCAACCUAUCACGGUCCACUGCUUCCGGGAUUGUUCUCAAUGUAGAACCGUCUCAUCAGCAUCUUGCCACUGCCACUGGAAAUUGGCUCUAAUCCGUUUACGAUUUAAAUUAAAUCUUUUCAUUUUCCUUUUCUUUUUUCUUCUGUCUUUUCCGAGCGGAUGGGAAUUAAUUCUUGUGAUUGGCCGUCGGAGG
ensembl:lncRNA